AAUUUGUUGAUCUCUAAACAGAUCAACAAAAUCAGUGGAAAACAUCAAGUGCCAGGCAUAGUGAGUAAGAAGGGUCUCAACUAGACACACAUGGGACAUUUUGGAACAGUAAGAAUAAAGAUCCUUAAAGCUUGCAGAAAAAAAAAUCGGAAAGAAGAAUCAUGUUGUAUCCUAGCUCUUUUUCAGAAAUGCUAGAUGCUGAGGACAAUAGAUCAGUGCCUUUAAAAUUCAGAGGCAAAAUUUUUGAACUUAGAUCUCUAAACCCAGCCAAAUCUUCAGUGAAGUGCUAGACAUACAGCCUUUUCAGACAUGCAAGGACUCCAAAGAAUCCUCCUGCCCUCUUUCAUAGGAUGUUUUUUAAGAACAUAUGCCAGUAAAUAAAAGUGGCCAAACCAAGGAAGAGGAAGAUGUGGAGCCCAGGAAAGAAUGGUUGAGCCUGAGCAACCUGUCUAGGGUGGAGCAAAAUGAGUUUCUAGGAAUAACAGUAAUUAACAGAUUCGAGAUGGUGGCAGAGAGCUCGAAACUUGAGAAGAUGAUAAAGAUGACGUGCAGAAAGGAAGGAAUCGUUUAUUCAAAGUUGCCUCCAGGAAUACUCUCUUUUGAAUGUUGCAGUGGCCAUAUCAACGCAGCUACGAGAGGGAAAAAGGCUGCAGCUCCUGGAGUCCCCAUCAGCUGAGGAAAAUGCCCCCGGACGAAGUGAAUGCCGCAGAUUUGGAUUUCAAACACCAGCAUUGAUCUCAGCAUCGAUUGGGGUUGUGUUGCUGUUCUCGCCCGAGCACCGAGUCCCGCCUGGUCCCCCAGGGAAGAGGAUUGAUCGCAGGGUGUAGCUGAGGGGCCGGGAUGGAAGAGGAAGGACAAAGGGAGCCAGUCCCACGAUGAGGAAAGCACCCUGGACAUGCUUGUCCAAUAAACUGAAAUUCUGCAAAUCAAAGUCUCACCCUUAGCAGCUCCCAUCCUCCUGAACUUCGUCAGCGCUUUUCUCCUGGGAAGGCUCAGUGCUUUGAAGGAUGCUCGGGUUAAAUCUGUGUUUACACCACCGCAGGAGAAGGGCAUGCGGAGAAAUGAUUGAUCCCCUUCCCUCCUGUACCCGGGACCUUGUGCCCACUAGGUUUCUGGGUCGAUGAAGACCCGCUGUAGGAUCUUCCUCUGCCUCCGUGGUUCCAGUGUGACAGACUAAUGAAUCGGUAAUUCAUUCAGCAAAUGGGUAUUGGCUGUCUACUAUGUGCCAUGACUGUAUGCUUAAGAUGACAUGGUGAACCAAACAGACACAAUCUCUGCCCUCUUGAAGCCCCUGUUGUGCCAGUGGGGGGAGAUGGAGCCUAAACACUAAACAAGAAAUAGCAAGUUUAGCGUAUGUUCUAAGGGGAUGAAUGCUAUGAAACAGGCACAGUAGAGCUGAGAAGGAGGAAUUGGGAGGGCAGAGUUGGGGGCACUCUGUGGCUGGUCAGGGUGAGACCUUGGAGGAGGUGGUACCUGAGCCAAGACUGCAGGAGCAGGAGGACCUCAGCUCUGCAGAUACCCAGAGCUAGAGCUUCCAGGCAGGAGGAACUGCUAAGUGCAAUGGGGCUUGUGGUGGGGCUGUCUGAGGAACACCAAGGAGGCCAGUGUGACCGGAUCAGGGUGCAUGCGGGUGGCCAAGAGUGAGAAUAGCUCUGGGCUCUCAAACCCAUAGGGUAUUAUUGGCCCUUGUGAAAUCUCUGGCUUUUAUUCUGAGACGAAUGGGGAGUCUUUAGAGAAUUUCAGGAAGAGGAAUGGCCUAAUCUGACUUACUUGUUAAGGCUAACUCUGGUUGCUGUGUAGAGAAGAGAAUGCAGAGCAGGGGGACAGACGGGGGGAGGAGGAGCGGAAUGAUGGAGGUAGCAGAGGUAGAGGUGGUGACAGGUGGUCUGUUUCCAAAUAGAAUCUGGAGACAAAGCCAAGGAGAUUUCCUGAUAGGUUGCUGGUGGCCUGAGAUUUGAAGCUUCAGCACUGAAAGAGCGGAGUUCCUCCUAAAUCAGACAGAAGGGAGGUUUUUCAAGGGAAAUCAGGGGGUUUGUGUCUGGCGUGUUGAGUUGAGGUGUCUGUUAUAGACAUCCAAGAGGAAUGUCAAGUACACAUCUAAAGUUAUUUUGGAGGGGAUCUCUGAAUUUUGAUUAUAAAUUUGGAAGUGGUUUUGCAUACACAUGAUAUUUAAAUGCCAUGAGAUUGAGUGGCAUCACCAAGGGAGUGAGUCAAGAUGGAAAGACAGCCAGGCCAGGGGCACUCUUGGGAACAGGACCCUGGGACACUCCAGUAGGACGAGGUUGGGGAGAGGAGAAGACUAGCAAAGGAGGCUGAGCGAGAGCCACCUGUGAAGGAGGAGGGAGUGGGGUUCUGGAGCCAGGUCAAGAAACGUAUCAAAAGGACCUGGUUCAAGAGGUAUGAGAAGGUCAAGGAAGAUGACCAAGAGGACCAAGAUGUUAGCAUUCCUUUUAGCAAGAUGAGGUCACUGGCGACCUGGUCAAGAGCAGUUCUGGAAGAGUCGUGGAGACAAACACUGAACAGGAUGGAGUGUAAGAGAAAAUGAGAGGAAUUACUAAUAUGGAAAACUCCCUUGCACAAAAAUCAACUUAAAGUGGAUUGAAGACUUGGAUGUUAUAUCUGAAAACAUGAAACUCGUAGAAGAGAACAGCAGAUAAGCUCCUUGGCAUCUGUCUUGGCAAUAGUUUUUUGUUUUUUUUUUCUGGAUUUGACAAAAGCAAAAAGUAAACAAGUAGAACUACAUCCAAUCAAAAAUCUUCUGCAGAGCAAAGGAAAUCAUCAACAAGAUGAAAAGGCAAACUAUGAAAUGAGAGAAAAUAUUUGUAAAUCAUAUAUCUGAUUAGAGGUUAAUAUCCAAAAUAUAUGAAGAACUCAUACAACUCAAUAGCAAAAAACCAAAUAAUUCCAUUUUUUAAAAAAAAUGGUCAGAAGAACUAUUUAGAUAUUUUUCCAGAGGGAACAUACACAUGGCCAGCAAUUACAUGAGGCUCAGAGUCACUAAUCAUCAGAAAAAUGCAAACCAAAACCACCAUGAGAUAGCACCUCACACCUGCUAAAAUGGCUAUUAUUUAAAAGACAAAUGUUGGAGUUCCUGUCGUGGCUCAGAGCUUAAUGAACCUGACGAGUAUCCAUGAGGAUGCAGGUUCGAUCCCUGGCCUCACUCAGUGGGUUAAGGAUCCAGCGUUGCCAUGAGCUGUGGUGUAGGUCGCAGACGUGCCUCAGACCCUGCAUUGCUGUGGCUGUGGUGUAGGCCAGCAGCUGUAGCUCCUAUUUGACCCCUAGCCCAGGAACCUCCAUAUGCUGCGGGUAUGGCCCUAAAAAGACAAAGGACAAAAAAAAAAUUUUGUUUUAAAUAAAAGACAGAUGUAAGUAUUGGUGAGAAUGUGAAGAAAGGGAACCCUGUGCCCUGUCGAUGGGACUGUAAAUGGUAAACAGGAUGGAG
rnacentral:lncRNA from 9 species